UACAGCUAUAUCACGUUGAAACACCUGUUCCCGUACGAUCACCGAAGUUAAGCAACGUCAGGCCUGGUCAGUACCUAGCUGGGUCACCACUUGGGGAAACUAGGUGCUGUAA